GACGAACGCUGGCGGCGUGCUUAACACAUGCAAGUCGAACGGAAAGGCCCUGCUUUUGUGGGGUGCUCGAGUGGCGAACGGGUGAGUAACACGUGAGUAACCUGCCCUUGACUUUGGGAUAACUUCAGGAAACUGGGGCUAAUACCGGAUAGGAGCUCCUGCUGCAUGGUGGGGGUUGGAAAGUUUCGGCGGUUGGGGAUGGACUCGCGGCUUAUCAGCUUGUUGGUGGGGUAGUGGCUUACCAAGGCUUUGACGGGUAGCCGGCCUGAGAGGGUGACCGGCCACAUUGGGACUGAGAAACGGCCCAGACUCCUACGGGAGGCAGCAGUGGGGAAUAUUGCACAAUGGGCGGAAGCCUGAUGCAGAAACGCCGCGUGCGGGAUGACGGCCUUCGGGUUGUAAACCGCUUUCGCCUGUGACGAAGCGUGAGUGACGGUAAUGGGUAAAGAAGCACCGGCUAACUACGUG
rnacentral:rRNA from 1 species